rnacentral:rRNA from 1 species
AUACGGAGGGUGCAAGCGUUACUCGGAAUCACUGGGCGUAAAGCGCGCGCAGGCGGCCAUUUAAGUUGGAUGUGAAAGCCUACGGCUCAACCGUAGAACUGCAUCCAAAACUAUUUGGCUCGAGUGUGGGAGAGGAAGAUGGAAUUAGUUGUGUAGGGGUAAAAUCCGUAGAGAUAACUAGGAAUACCAAAAGCGAAGGCAAUCUUCUGGAACAUUACUGACGCUGAGGCGCGAAAGCGUGGGGAGCAAACAGGAUUAGAAACCCUUGUAGUCC